AAGACCUUGCGCUUUUGGAGCGGCCGAUGCCUGAUUAGCUAGUUGGGGGGGUAAUGGCCUACCAAAGCUUCGAUCAGUAGCUGGUCUGAGAGGACGGCCAGCCACACUGGGACUGAGACACGGCCCAGACUCCUACGGGAGGCAGCAGUGGGGAAUUUUGGACAAUGGGCGCAAGCCUGAUCCAGCCAUGCCGCGUGAGUGAAGAAGGCCUUCGGGUUGUAAAGCUCUUUCAGCCGGGAAGAAAAGGUUGCGAUUAAUAAUCGCAAUUUAUGACGGUACCGGAAGAAGAAGCACCGGCUAACUACGUGCCAGCAGCCGCGGUAAUACGUAGGGUGCGAGCGUUAAUCGGAAUUACUGGGCGUAAAGGGUGCGCAGGCGGUUUUGUAAGUCAGAUGUGAAAUCCCCGGGCUUAACCUGGGAACU
rnacentral:rRNA from 1 species